rnacentral:sRNA from 1 species
UUUGCUCUAUUUCUAUUUCUGCUUCUGCUUCUGUUUCUAAUUCUGUUUCUAUUGUUAUAGUUACUGUUGCAAUUGCCUGCAUUGCAGCAGGUCGUAAAUUUAUGGCAAAUAAAUUUAUAGCAGUCGUUUCGAGGUCUCCAACGCACCACCAGUCCACCAGGCCACCCAAAAGAGUGGGCUCCAUUCCACUGCUGUCUGUCAGAUGGGGAACAUUCAACUGAAAUGGCUCAAAAAAUUGAAAUCAACCAAAGUUGGGGAAUUUCCUGCAGCCAGGAGAAGCAAAAAGAGGUCGAGGGGCUGAGCAAAUGAAUAGAACCAGCCAAGAAUCCUUCUUUGCUGUUCAUUUUGGGCUCGGGUUAGAAGGGCCCAAUGCAUAUUAAGUUGUCCUUGUUGUCCUCGUUUUCCUUGUUGAGAGCUUAUCUGAAUGCACCACAAUUAUUUCAGCUUGUCGGAGAAGCCAAACGGUCAUUGUGCGAGUGCAAGCCCCCCAAAUGCAGUUUGUCCACGGCCAACUGCCGACUGCCAUACGAAGCUUCACUCACUACCUGAAUGGCCAAGAAGCAGAAGUUUUUCUCAAGAAAAAUGUUGAUUGGAACGAAUUAUUGUGGCAACUGGAGGGGACCAGCUUGGUUAGGUACGAGAUAUCCUGCCUGAGAUACCCUGAAUACGUUUCUAUAUAUUAAUUUCCGCGCCUAACAGGCUCUAAAGGCAUUGGUAACGUUCCUUGACGGCCUCCAGCUUGGCUCCCGGGAAAGGCCCUCCAAGCGCCGCAACUACCUACCUAGUCGAUAUCCAGGUCAGAGGUGAGUCACUUUUAGAUACCUUCAUCUAAACUAGAUGUAGUAAAUGUGGGUGCGGAAUACACCUUCGUCGUUCCCAUUUUGUUAAAUGUUUAACAGUCGAGAGGAUCAGGACCCUUUGGUGGAGCCGCUCCAAAGAAUAAUUUGUUCAAGAG